UGCGUAGGUGGGUUGGUAAGUCAGUGGUGAAAUCUUCGAGCUUAACUCGGAAACUGCCAUUGAUACUAUUAAUCUUGAAUUAUCUGGAGGUAAGCGGAAUAUGUCAUGUAGCGGUGAAAUGCUUAGAUAUGACAUAGAACACCCAUUGCGAAGGCAGCUUACUACGGAUAUAUUGACACUGAGGCACGAAAGCGUGGGGAUCAAACAGGAUUAGAUACCCUGGUAGUCCACGCCCUAAACGAUGGAUACUCGACAUCAGCGAUACACUGUUGGUGUCUGAGCGAAAGCAUUAAGUAUCCCACCUGGGAAGUACGAUCGCAAGAUUGAA
rnacentral:rRNA from 1 species